UACGCAGGGGGCUAGCGUUGUUCGGAAUUACUGGGCGUAAAGCGUGCGCAGGCGGUUUUGUAAGCCAGAUGUGAAAUCCCCGGGCUUAACCUGGGAAUGGCAUUUGGGACUGCAAGGCUGGAGUGUGGCAGAGGAGACUGGAAUUCCCGGUGUAGCAGUGAAAUGCGUAGAUAUCGGGAGGAAUACCGAUGGCGAAGGCAGGUCUCUGGGCUGACACUGACGCUCAUGCACGAAAGCGUGGGGAGCAAACAGG
rnacentral:rRNA from 1 species